GUGGGGAAUUUUGGACAAUGGGCGCAAGCCUGAUCCAGCAAUGCCGCGUGCAGGAAGAAGGCCUUCGGGUUGUAAACUGCUUUUGUACGGAACGAAACGGUCCGGGUUAAUACCCUGGGCUAAUGACGGUACCGUAAGAAUAAGCACCGGCUAACUACGUGCCAGCAGCCGCGGUAAUACGUAGGGUGCAAGCGUUAAUCGGAAUUACUGGGCGUAAAGCGUGCGCAGGCGGUUUUGUAAGACAGGCGUGAAAUCCCCGGGCUCAACCUGGGAAUUGCGCUUGUGACUGCAAGGCUGGAGUGCGGCAGAGGGGGAUGGAAUUCCGCGUGUAGCAGUGAAAUGCGUAGAUAUGCGGAGGAACACCGAUGGCGAAGGCAAUCCCCUGGGCCCGCACUGACGCUCAUGCACGAAAGCGUGGGGAGCAAACAGGAUUAGAUACCCCUGUAGUCC
rnacentral:rRNA from 1 species